GAAUAUAUAAGGGCAUUCCCAUGAACAUCCGGGGCCAAGUGUGGUCAGUCCUCCUGAACAUACAGAAAGUCAAGUCGAAAAACCCCAGAACAUACAAGGUCAUGAAGGAGAAGGGCAAGAGGUCAUCUGAACACAUCCACCAGAUCGACCUGGACGUGAGCAGGACACUAAGGAAUCACAUCUUCUUCAGGGAUCGAUAUGGAGCCAAGUAAGCCUACGGGAGCCACAGGGUCCCAGCGGAGAUGGAGUGAAUGAAAGAGAUGGGGGCUUCCCCGGAGAAGAGGCCAGGGUCACCCAGGAGGGAUGACAGAGCUGCCAAGAGCUCUCCUGGCUCAGGGACCAGCCGGCACCAAGAACAGAGCACUUCCCUGCUUCCAAGCCCUGGGCCAGACUGGAACAUGUGGGGCCAGAACCCAGGAGGAUCCCGAGGAGACAGAAGGCAGCAAACAAAAUCAUGCACAAUGGUGAAAAGUGCUCUCCCUGACCCACGGGGACCCAUGGUAGGACUCACGGGAGGGUGGCAGGAUGGAGGGCCCAUGAGCCUCUCCAGGCAACACUGACAGUACCAAAAGCUGGGUGAACUAGGGGUCCUGGAAACUGUCAUCCAUGUCUGCUGAGAACAUGACAUGGCACAGCCACUUUGGCAGCCAGUUUGGCAGUGACUCACAACGCUCAAUGGACUUGAACCACGUGUCCCCAAAGUGUCACAGAUAUUGAACCCACUGAUUUGAAAACUGACAUCCACAUGAAACUUGCAUGCCACGUCCACUGCUUGAUUCAUCGUCACUCACACAAGGAGCCUUCGGGGACAGCCUUCAACAUGGGAACGGGGAGAGCAAGGCUGGUCCUCCCUCCAAAUGGAAGACACAGUGAGAAAAGGGAAUGAGCCAGUGAUGCCUGCACGAACGUGGGUGGAUCCUAGGUGCAUUUUGCUGAGGGAAAAAAGCCAGAUCCAAUAAGCUACCACGUAGGAUUCCCAUUCCUGGGCCAUUCUGGAAAAGGCCAAACCACAGGGACUGAGAAGCAGUCUGGGUGGUCAGGGGCUGAGGGAUCAGGGAGAGGCUGGGUGCAUAGGGGCCACCCUGGAGACUUGGAAGAUGAAGGAGUUGCUGCAGGAGGGGCUGGGGCAGUGGCCAGGAAACUCUGCCCAUUGGUUUAGAACCGUGGAGGAACUGUACACCCAAAGGCUGAACUGGCGUGUCUGCAAACUGAAAAUAAAAAAAAUCAUUCAGAGUGAAAAGGAUCAGGCAAGUCACUGUACAACUGGGCUAUCUGCAUGUCACAGAUGUGGAUUUUACUGAAACAUUUCCUCAAAGUCAAAGGCCCUGAAGAGCUCACUGCUUAUCUGGUGAAUCAUCUGAACCUAAAGUGGGAUUUGUUGUUAGGCUUUGUAGACAAAGUGAAACUAACGGCAUCUGCACAAAACAAACAAAAGCCUCAUUUCUCUGUUUCCUAGGCAGCGGGAACUAUUCUACAUCCUCUUGGCAUAUUCGGAGUAUAACCCGGAGGUGGGCUACUGCAGGGACCUGAGCCACAUCGAGGCCUUGUUCCUCCUUUAUCUGCCUGAGGAGGAUGCAUUCUGGGCACUGGUGCAGCUGCUGGCCAGGGAGAGGCACUCCCUGCAGGGUAGGUGGACAGCUGCCCUUGGGACCUCAUGCAGCCAGACCCAGGGAUGGCCACCCUGGCCAGACGAUCUCGGCUUUCAGCCAAGGCACCUUCCUUGUGUCGCUAGCUUGUUGGGAACCUUUAGGAUGUCUCUGCUGAGGGUCCCACAGGAGUCCACGGCUGACCCCCAAAGCCCAAGUCAGAUGCCUUUCAUCCCCAUCAGCGGAGGGCAUCUCAUCCUCCCCGGGGCCACCCUCUGUGUCUUGCUGCCACGCCCUCUGGCUCUGAUUCUGUGCAGCUGACUCUCCCCUCCCUGAGAGUCCUCCUGCCCCACAGCUGCCCGGGCUUCACCUACCCUUGGUGCUCACAAAUGGGCCAACCAAGCCCAGGUGGCAGCAUCUCCCCAUCCCGUGUCCCCUGGCCCGACCCCACUUCCAGGAGACGACCGGGAAGCCCAGCACGCACCCUGUUCUGGCCACCCUGUCGUGGCCUCAAGUCAGGCUUGCCCUUUUUGCACCCUGGUCCAGGAGGCCUCCAGGGG